GUAUAAGUCCCUAAGUCUGCCCUAAUUCCACACUCACUCUCACUAUUGCAGAAACUCCGCAGCCGUCACCUUCUCCUUCCGCUCUAGAGCUCUGCUAGGGUUCCUCCCUAAGUCUCUCGAGCUAGCCCCGAAUCAGCUUCUACCCCACCUCCUGUGCGUUCUAGAGCUGCUGUGCUCCUUGGUCCCGCGUCGAACGCCCUGUACGAACCCAUUUUCCAGAUGGGCGAGGUUCUCAUGGGCAACAAGGGAAUGGCGACUCCGCUACUUAGCCAUCUGGGCUGGAUCUCACACUUCUUUCUUUCGUGUUUUCUUUAGGGCUAUGACCCCUGUAUUCGUGGUUUUUGGAUUGUAACUCUUAGUCAAACUUUUAUCCUGCUUUGUUGGCAUCGUGGUGUGCCUGGUUUUGUAGGGGUGAUGUUGGGAAUCCCAUC